rnacentral:rRNA from 1 species
GGAAUUUUGGACAAUGGGCGCAAGCCUGAUCCAGCAAUGCCGCGUGAGUGAAGAAGGCCUUCGGGUUGUAAAGCUCUUUUGUCAGGGAAGAAACGGUGAGGGCUAAUAUCCCUUGCUAAUGACGGUACCUGAAGAAUAAGCACCGGCUAACUACGUGCCAGCAGCCGCGGUAAUACGUAGGGUGCAAGCGUUAAUCGGAAUUACUGGGCGUAAAGCGUGCGCAGGCGGUUUUGUAAGUCUGAUGUGAAAUCCCCGGGCUCAACCUGGGAAUUGCAUUGGAGACUGCAAGGCUAGAAUCUGGCAGAGGGGGGUAGAAUUCCACGUGUAGCAGUGAAAUGCGUAGAUAUGUGGAGGAACACCGAUGGCGAAGGCAGCCCCCUGGGUCAAGAUUGACGCUCAUGCACGAAAGCGUGGGGAGCAAACAGGAUUAGAUACCCGGG